rnacentral:lncRNA from 1 species
UGCCCGACUACAGAUCUUAAGAAGCUCACCUUAGGUUCUGCUGGUGCAAAUAGACUCCGGCUUUGCCGGAGAUGAUGGAGAAUUGGUCUCGAGUUUCUAUAUAUCCGGAGAUGGGGGAGUGUCGUUGUUGGGUUCCUCUAUUUUUUGAGUAAGGAGACUCGGUGACGGAGAUGUGGAGAUUUUGGUUUGGGGCACUGGGGAAAAUGGAUCUAUACUUCCCGCGAACUCAGCGUUUUUCAUUUUUUG